rnacentral:rRNA from 1 species
UUUAAAUGAAGACCAGAACAAAAGAUUAAACGUUUAAAUUAAUAUUUAUACUUAAUUAAAUCCAAUUUAUCUUAAAUGUAAAAAGACAUUUAUAAAUAAAAAAGACGACAAGACCCUAUUGAACUUAACUUAAGUUAAACUGGGGCAGUUCAUUAAUAAUAAUUUUAAUGUACAAAAUAAAAUAAAUUAUCCAAUAUUAUUGACACGAUCAAGUUACCAUAGGGAUAACAGCGUAAUAAUUUUCUAAAGACCUUAUAAAAAUAAUAGUUUGCGACCUCGAUGUUGAAUUAAUUACCUAAUUAGAGCAAAAGCUAAUUAAGGAAGUCUGUUCGACUUUUAAAAAAUUACAUGAUUUGAGUUCAGACCGGUAUAAGCCAGGUCGGUUUCUAUCUUUUAUUAAAUUCUUGUAGUACGAAAGGGCCUAAGAAACUAAUUUAAUUAAUCAACUAAUUGGCAGAAAAAUGCAUUAGAAUUAGAAUCUAAUAAAACUAACUUAUACCUUUUAUCCUAUCAUACUUAAUCAUUACCAUCAGA